AGAGUUUGAUCCUGGCUCAGAUUGAACGCGGGCGGCAGGCCUCACACGUGCAAGUAGAGCGGUAACAUUUUUAGCUUGUUAGAAGAUGACGAGCGGCGGACGGGUGAGUAAUGCUUGGGAACAUGCCUUGAGGUGGGGGACAACAGUUGGAAACGACUGCUAAUACCGCAUAAUGUCUACGGACCAAAGGGGGCUUCGGCUCUCGCCUUUAGAUUGGCCCAAGUGGGAUUAGCUAGUUGGUGAGGUAAUGGCUCACCAAGGCGACGAUCCCUAGCUGGUUUGAGAGGAUGAUCAGCCACACUGGGACUGAGACACGGCCCAGACUCCUACGGGAGGCAGCAGUGGGGAAUAUUGCACAAUGGGCGCAAGCCUGAUGCAGCCAUGCCGCGUGUGUGAAGAAGGCCUUCGGGUUGUAAAGCACUUUCAGUCAGGAGGAAAGGUUAGUAGUUAAUACCUGCUAGCUGUGACGUUACUGACAGAAGAGACCCCCGUC
rnacentral:rRNA from 1 species